AUGAACGCUAGCUACAGGCUUAACACAUGCAAGUCGAGGGGCAGCAUGGUCUUAGCUUGCUAAGGCCGAUGGCGACCGGCGCACGGGUGAGUAACACGUAUCCAACCUGCCGUCUACUCUUGGACAGCCUUCUGAAAGGAAGAUUAAUACAAGAUGGCAUCAUGAGUCCGCAUGUUCACAUGAUUAAAGGUAUUCCGGUAGACGAUGGGGAUGCGUUCCAUUAGAUAGUAGGCGGGGUAACGGCCCACCUAGUCUUCGAUGGAUAGGGGUUCUGAGAGGAAGGUCCCCCACAUUGGAACUGAGACACGGUCCAAACUCCUACGGGAGGCAGCAGUGAGGAAUAUUGGUCAAUGGGCGAGAGCCUGAACCAGCCAAGUAGCGUGAAGGAUGACUGCCCUAUGGGUUGUAAACUUCUUUUAUAAAGGAAUAAAGUCGGGUAUGGAUACCCGUUUGCAUGUACUUUAUGAAUAAGGAUCGGCUAACUCCGUGCCAGCAGCCGCGGUAAUACGGAGGAUCCGAGCGUUAUCCGGAUUUAUUGGGUUUAAAGGGAGCGUAGAUGGAUGUUUAAGUCAGUUGUGAAAGUUUGCGGCUCAACCGUAAAAUUGCAGUUGAUACUGGAUAUCUUGAGUGCAGUUGAGGCAGGCGGAAUUCGUGGUGUAGCGGUGAAAUGCUUAGAUAUCACGAAGAACUCCGAUUGCGAAGGCAGCCUGCUAAGCUGCAACUGACAUUGAGGCUCGAAAGUGUGGGUAUCAAACAGGAUUAGAUACCCUGGUAGUCCACACGGUAAACGAUGAAUACUCGCUGUUUGCGAUAUACUGCAAGCGGCCAAGCGAAAGCGUUAAGUAUUCCACCUGGGGAGUACGCCGGCAACGGUGAAACUCAAAGGAAUUGACGGGGGCCCGCACAAGCGGAGGAACAUGUGGUUUAAUUCGAUGAUACGCGAGGAACCUUACCCGGGCUUAAAUUGCAGAUGAAUUACGGUGAAAGCCGUACGCCGCAAGGCAUCUGUGAAGGUGCUGCAUGGUUGUCGUCAGCUCGUGCCGUGAGGUGUCGGCUUAAGUGCCAUAACGAGCGCAACCCUUGUUGUCAGUUACUAACAGGUUCCGCUGAGGACUCUGACAAGACUGCCAUCGUAAGAUGUGAGGAAGGUGGGGAUGACGUCAAAUCAGCACGGCCCUUACGUCCGGGGCUACACACGUGUUACAAUGGGGGGUACAGAGGGCCGCUACCACGCGAGUGGAUGCCAAUCCCCAAAACCUCUCUCAGUUCGGACUGGAGUCUGCAACCCGACUCCACGAAGCUGGAUUCGCUAGUAAUCGCGCAUCAGCCACGGCGCGGUGAAUACGUUCCCGGGCCUUGUACACACCGCCCGUCAAGCCAUGGGAGCCGGGGGUACCUGAAGUGCGUAACCGCGAGGAGCGCCCUAGGGUAAAACUGGUGACUGGGGCU
rnacentral:rRNA from 1 species